rnacentral:rRNA from 1 species
UAAUACGUAGGUGACAAGCGUUGUCCGGAUUUACUGGGCGUAAAGAGCGCGCAGGCGGUCGUUCAAGUCGAGUGUGAAAGCCCCCGGCUCAACUGGGGAGGGUCAUUCGAUACUGAUCGACUCGAAGGCAGGAGAGGGAAGUGGAAUUCCCGGUGUAGUGGUGAAAUGCGUAGAUAUCGGGAGGAACACCAGUGGCGAAGGCGACUUCCUGGCCUGUUCUUGACGCUGAGGCGCGAAAGCUAGGGGAGCAAACGGGAUUAGAUACCCCGGUAGUCCUAGCCGUAAACGAUGGACACUAGGUGUUGGCGGUAUCAACCCCGCCAGUGCCGAAGCUAACGCAUUAAGUGUCCCGCCUGGGGAGUACGGCCGCAAGGCUA